GACGAACGCUGGCGGCGUGCCCAAUACAUGCAAGUCGAGCGAGACUCUUCGGAGUCUAGCGGCGGACGGGUGAGUAACACGUGGGCAACCUGCCUGUAAGACUGGGAUAACACCGGGAAACCGGUGCUAAUACUGGAUAAUCCUUUUCCUCUCAUGAGGAAAAGCUGAAAGUCGGUUUCGGCUGACAGGUACAGAUGGGCCCGCGGCGCAUUAGCUAGUUGGUGAGGUAACGGCUCACCAAGGCAACGAUGCGUAGCCGACCUGAGAGGGUGAUCGGCCACACUGGGACUGAGACACGGCCCAGCCUCCUACGGGCGGCAGCAGUAGGGAAUCGUCCAAAAUGGAAGAAAGUCUGAUGGGGCAACGCCGCGUGAGCGAUUAAGGCCCUCGGGUCGUAAAGCUCUGUUGUUAGGGAAGAACAAGUACCGGAGUAACUGCCGGUACCUUGACGGUACCUAACCAGAAAGCCACGGCUAACUACGUGCCAGCCGCCGCAGUAAAAC
rnacentral:rRNA from 1 species